CUGUCUCAAAGAUUAAGCCAUGCAUGUCUCAGUACAAGCCAAAUUAAGGUGAAACCGCGAAAGGCUCAUUAAAUCAGUUAUGGUUCCUUAGAUCGUACCCACAUUUACUUGGAUAACUGUGGUAAUUCUAGAGCUAAUACAUGCAAACAGAGUUCCGACCGGAGACGGAAGGAGCGCUUUUAUUAGAUCAAAACCAAUCGGUGGCGGUUCGCCGUCAUCGUACAACUUGGUGACUCUGAAUAACUUUAAGCUGAUCGCACGGUCUCGCACCGGCGACGCAUCUUUCAAAUGUCUGCCUUAUCAACUGUCGAUGGUAGGUUCUGCGCCUACCAUGGUUGUAACGGGUAACGGGGAAUCAGGGUUCGAUUCCGGAGAGGGAGCCUGAGAAACGGCUACCACAUCCAAGGAAGGCAGCAGGCGCGCAAAUUACCCACUCCCGGCACGGGGAGGUAGUGACGAAAAAUAACGAUACGGGACUCAUCCGAGGCCCCGUAAUCGGAAUGAGUACACUCUAAACCCUUUAACGAGGAUCAAUUGGAGGGCAAGUCUGGUGCCAGCAGCCGCGGUAAUUCCAGCUCCAAUAGCGUAUAUUAAAGUUGUUGCGGUUAAAAAGCUCGUAGUCGAAUCUGUGUCCCGCGCCGCUGGUUCAUCGUUCGCGGUGUCAACUGGCGUGCCGCGGGACGUCCUGCCGGUGGGCUUAGCCGCGUCGUUUCGGCGUGCGCGGCGGCCCAAAUCAAUCCCGCCGCGGUGCUCUUCAUUGAGUGUCGAGGUGGGCCGGCACGUUUACUUUGAACAAAUUAGAGUGCUUAAAGCAGGCUAAAAUUUCGCCUGAAUACUGUGUGCAUGGAAUAAUGGAAUAGGACCUCGGUUCUAUUUUGUUGGUUUUCGGAACCCCGAGGUAAUGAUUAAUAGGAACGGAUGGGGGCAUUCGUAUUGCGACGUUAGAGGUGAAAUUCUUGGAUCGUCGCAAGACGGACA
rnacentral:rRNA from 1 species